rnacentral:lncRNA from 1 species
UCACGCAUAAUUUGAUCUAAUUCAUUCCUCUACAUUUUUCAAAAUGAAUUUACUACCAAGCACUAUUCAUGUUGGGCUAAAUCCGUUAUGAAGCAGGCCGACCCCAUAUUCACAGGUGAUUUACUUUUUAUCGGAUUCAAAUCGGGGACAAGGUUCAUCGUCGGGCGAUAUACUAAGAAGAAGAAACUUACAAGAAUUCUAAACUAAUAAACACAAACACGCCAUAAUAACAAAAAUGCAUAGAAACAAGAAAUAUGCACCUGAAUGGUAGGGGGCGAACGGCGGCAGAAUACGGAGGAGGCGGUGGUCAGAGCAUCGGAGGAGGAGGAUGGUAGGAGGUGUAAGGAAGGUAGAUGGAAGGCUCUUUUCCUACGGUUCUCCCUUGGAAAAAGAGUAGAUUUCAGAAUAGUAAACUAUAUUAUUAUUCUGAUUACAAAUUCCCAUAGGAAGAAAGAAUCAUUGCUUCUUCUUUUGCUUUUAUAACUCUCAUCUUUUGUUGCAGUUCUCUCUCUCUCUCUCUCUCUCUCUCUCUCUUAUGGCUUCACCUACGUUUUCGGACCCAUCAAUUCUUAAACACCCACCAUUUUUCAAUUAUUGUAUUCCUUAAUCCCAUCAAAAAACAUUAUUGAUUAACCCGACUAUUAGAUCAGAUCUAGAGAAUCCAUAUACCACGUGUUGCUGCUGUCAUGCAAAUGGGUUGUGUAUAUUUUAC